rnacentral:rRNA from 1 species
UACGGGGGGGGUAAGCGUUGUUCGGAAUUACUGGGCGUAAAGGGCUCGUAGGUGGCCAACUAAGUCAGACGUGAAAUCCCUCGGCUUAACCGGGGAACUGCGUCUGAUACUGGAUGGCUUGAGUUUGGGAGAGGGAUGCGGAAUUCCAGGUGUAGCGGUGAAAUGCGUAGAUAUCUGGAGGAACACCGGUGGCGAAGGCGGCAUCCUGGACCAACACUGACACUGAGGAGCGAAAGCCAGGGGAGCAAACGGG